CAGUAGCCGCGGUAAUACGAAGGGGGCAAGCGUUGUUCGGAAUUACUGGGCGUAAAGGGCGCGUAGGCGGCUUAUCAAGUCAGGCGUGAAAUUCCCGGGCUCAACCUGGGGGCUGCGUUUGAUACUGAUGAGCUUGAAUGCGGGAGAGGAUAGUGGAAUUCCCAGUGUAGAGGUGAAAUUCGUAGAUAUUGGGAAGAACACCGGUGGCGAAGGCGGCUAUCUGGCCCGUGAUUGACGCUGAGGCGCGAAAGCGUGGGGAGCAAACAGGAUUAGAUACCCCAGUAGUCCCUGUCUCUUAUAC
rnacentral:rRNA from 1 species